CCCGCAAUACACGAUGAACAAAUCAUCAGCCGGAUUGACCCGGAAGCGAAGGCCGGUUUCUGGCUAUAAAAACCCAAGUCUUGUACUUCGGUUAAUUCCAUAACUCAAACAUUAAAAAUUUAUCAAACACCUCUAAUUAACAACAACAUCAUAAAAUGGCCUCUAGCAAUUGUUUCGUCUUAGCUUUGUUUGUGGCUUUGGCAUUUGCUUCAGUCGAUGAAGGGCUGGCAGCUCGUCAUCUAAUGCAAUUGCCAACGUUGCCACCUUUGCCUUCAAUUCCAGGGAUACCACAGCAGCCAACGUUGCCGCCGAUCCCAAGCGUCCCUCCAAUUCCAAGUAUCCCUAAAAUUCCAACUCCUCCUCCACUUCCAAGCAUCCCUUCAUUCCCUAAUAUACCAACUACGAUUCCUUCUAUCCCUUUCUUCUCUCCGCCUCCUUCUACGAAAAGCCCUUGAAUUCAUCUCCAUGCUGCUAGCUUGUUUGUGCCCCCGUUUUGCAGCAUGCAUGUCAAGAAGGGCCUUGAAUUUAUUUGUUACUGGGGAAUAUUACAAUUGACCCGCGGAUUUAGGUUGUUUGCGUUCUCUACUUCUAUGAAUAAAUUUUAUCAUUGUUCGAGGAUUGUUCUUUUAUAAUUAUUACUAAGAUUAUCAUUUUUGGCUGGUUUUGCCACGCUGUUUGCUUAUACGGGGACAUGGCUAUGAUACGGGGACUCAAAGUCCCUGUAUCAUAGAGGGGGUCAAUUUAUUGACCCCUUUGUUGUUUGGCUGCCAUCUGGCAGCCAAACAACUUUUUUGACUGGCAGCAACCGG
rnacentral:lncRNA from 1 species